rnacentral:lncRNA from 1 species
CUUAUCUUAUUGAGGACUGUGGUUGCUCUGUGUUGGGCUGGCUUCUUCAUUUUCUUAGACAUGUUUUUUAUGGAGUUAAGCUUGGUUAGUCUGUAUGUAUUGGGAUAUAUUUGGGGUCUUGCCCUUCUCUCCUAUUUUCAUUAGUUGUGUCUGGCAGUUCUGUCUUGUAUAGACUUCAUAAAGCCAAUUUGAUACCUGUGCUGUUUUCCUGAUUGAUAGAUAUAAUGAACUUCUUGUUGUAGAUCUAUCUGGUUCGUGCAGUACUUGUACACUCUUCUGAAGAAGGCUCUAAAGGCCGAUUUUUUGAAGGAUACUGGGUCCGGCAACCAGUUCGGUAUGAUAAUUGGCCUGUACUGGGGUUUCAUGUACACAUUUGUUGCGAUCGUGUCCCCCAUCAGGGUGAUAUUAAUAUCAAGGAAAUUUAUUUUCUCACUGCUUAUCUGGGUUUUCUUCAGCUUCAGGCCGCAUGUUGGGAUUGUUAACAGGUCUUCUAGGUUCGACAACUUAUCCUUAUUUUCCCAUAUGGCUAGUAUGUCAUCAACAUACCGUAUGUAUAAGGUGGGGGCCGGCUCUAUCCUGGGGAGUAUUGAUCUUUCGUAUUGUCUCGAGUAUUUCUGUUAGUGGCCAUGCCAUCGG